CUACGUAGGUGGCAAGCGUUGUCCGGAAUUAUUGGGCGUAAAGCGCGCGCAGGUGGUUCCUUAAGUCUGAUGUGAAAGCCCCCGGCUCAACCGGGGAGGGUCAUUGGAAACUGGGGAACUUGAGUGCAGAAGAGGAUAGUGGAAUUCCAAGUGUAGCGGUGAAAUGCGUAGAGAUUUGGAGGAACACCAGUGGCGAAGGCGAAGGUCUGGUCUGUAACUGACACUGAGGCGCGAAAGCGUGGGGAGCAAACAGGAUUAGAUACCCUGGUAGUCCACGCCGUAAACGAUGAGUGCUAAGUGUUGGGGGGUUUCCGCCCCUCAGUGCUGCAGCUAACGCAUUAAGCACUCCGCCUGGGGAGUACGGUCGCAAGACUGAAACUCAAAUGAAUUGACGGGG
rnacentral:rRNA from 1 species